rnacentral:rRNA from 1 species
AUGGCGGCUGCGGUGUUCGCGGGGGAGGGGGCCGCCGCGCGCGGGGGGUGCUCGGCGGAAUGCGCCGGCGGGAUCGAGAGGCCGCCGGAUCUCGGGAGCAGGGCGCGCGCCGCCGGGGACGGGUGCGGCAAGCGGAGCGUGUACCUCAUGGAGUGCGUGCCGCUGUGGGGCUGCGCCGCGGCACGCGGCCGCGCCGCGGAGAUGGAGGACGCGUGCGCCGCCGUGCCGCGCUUCGCCGCCGUGCCGGCGCGGAUGCUCGCGAGCAGCCGCGAGCUGGACGGGAUCGGGGGCGACUUCGACGCCGCCGAGCUCCGGCUUCCGGCGCACCUGUUCGGCGUCUACGAUGGACACGGCGGCUCGGAGGUGAGGUUAUCUUCUUCUCCUGUGACUCCUGGCCCAGACGAAACACAUCAAGCCUCGAGGCCCUCUCGCUCAUGCUUCAUCAUGCCCGUGCAGGUCGCAAACUACUGCCGGGAUAAGAUCCACGUCGUGUUAAGAGAGGUGCUGAAAGCUGGCAGGUGGUUGGAGGAAUUGGGGGAAGUAGGGGAGCUCGACGUGAAAGAACCAUGGGAGAAGGUUUUCGGUGAUUGUUUCCAGAAGGUAGACGACGAGGUGUCGGGGAAAGCGAGCAGGUUUUCCAAUGGCACCAGGGAGAUCCGUCCUGAGCCUAUUGCCGCUGAUAACGUGGGUUCCACCGCCGUUGUUGCCAUUGUCUGCUCUUCUCAUGUCAUAACUGCGAAUUGUGGAGAUUCACGCGUGGUGCUCUGCCGUGGAAAGGAGCCCAUUGCUCUGUCCGUCGAUCACAAACCUGAUAGGAAAGAUGAGCGUGCCAGGAUUGAGGCCGCAGGUGGAAAGGUCAUUGACUGGAAUGGUUAUCGUGUCUCUGGUAUUCUGGCAAUGUCACGGUCAAUCGGUGACCGAUACCUGAAACCAUUUCUGAUUCCAAAGCCAGAAGUCAGCAUUGUUGCUCGGGCAAAAGAUGACGACUGCCUCAUUCUAGCAAGCGAUGGUCUCUGGGAUGUCAUGUCAAAUGAGGACGCAUGCAAAGUUGCCCGGCGACAGAUCCUUCUGUGGUACAAGAAUAAUAACGACGGUGCGAAUUCCGAUGGAGGCAGCGAACCCACUAUGAACCCAGCUGCAAAAGCAGCCGCUGAUUGUCUCGUGAGGCUAGCGCUGUCGAAAGGGAGCGGGGACAACAUUAGUGUCAUUGUUAUUGACCUGAAAUCAAGAAAGAAGACCAAGGGCAAAACCUAA